GGAUGUGAGGGUGAUCUGGCCGUGACAUCUGUCAUCCCAUUGAUUGCCAGGGUUGAUUCAGCUGAUCUGGCUGGCUAUGUGGGUGUCCCCUCCCUCUCUCACCGCUCCAUGUACAUCCCUCCCAAAGUUGCGUGCUCGGUUAAAGAGGACGACCAUCCUUGAUAGACGAGGACUGGUCUUCAGUCAAGUGUAUACGAGUAGCUGCACUCCCCUGCUAGAACCUUCAAACAAGCUCUCAAUAUCAUUGGGGACCAAUGUAAACUUUAACCUCAGACUGACAGCAAAUAGCUGGAGAGAUUCCAGAUACCACAGCAACAUCCGAAGACAGGGAGACGAAGUGGAAAAUAGCUAAGUGAAAAAGAGAGUUUCUCUUUCUUAAUUC
rnacentral:snRNA from 1 species